rnacentral:tRNA from 1 species
GGCUUCGUAAUUCAGCUGGUAGAGCGCCUGCCGCAUUGAGGCAUGCUGUGUCUGUCGCUGGUUCGAAUCCAGUCGAAGCCC